rnacentral:rRNA from 1 species
UGGGGANUUUUGGACAAUGGGCGCAAGCNUGAUCCAGCCAUGNCGCGUGUCUGAAGAAGGCCUUCGGGUUGUAAAGGACUUUUGUCAGGGAAGAAAAAGCUGUCGCUAAUACCGACAGCUGAUGACGGUACCUGAAGAAUAAGCACCNGCNAACUACGUNNCAGCAGNCGCGNUAAUACGUAGGGGUGCGAGCGUUAAUCGGANNUACUGGGCGUAAAGCGAGCGCAGACGGUUACUUAAGCAGGAUGUGAAAUCCCCGGGCUCAACCUGGGGNCUGCGUUCUGAACUGGGUGACUAGAGUGUGUCAGAGGGAGGUAGAAUUCCACGUGUAGCAGUGAAAUGCGUAGAGAUGUGGAGGAAUUCCGAUGGCGAAGGCAGCCUCCUGGGAUUAANCUGACGUUCAUGCUCGAAAGCGUGGGUAGCAAACAGGAUUAGAUACCCUGGUAGUCCACGCCCUAAACGAUGUCAAUUAGCUGUUGGGCAACUUGAUUGCUUAGUUACGUAGCUAACGCGUGAAAUUGACCGCCUGGGGAGUACGGUCGCAAGAUUA